CUUCUUCUAGCUGGCUCUCGCAUAAACAAAAAUGGGUAGGGCUUCUCUUGCUCUAACUGAUAGCACUAGCAGUACUAUACUAGGUCUCUCGCUACUAAGCUCUGGAGGUGUGUUCUUGUUCUGUAUUAUGAUUCUGAUAUCACUCUCGGUCAUACCGGCUGCAAUAUUUGCUUGCGGUCAUUCCUCUCGCAAGAAGAAACCACAUGGCGGCGGUGGGAGUGCAUAUGUUGGUGGUUAUUGGGACGGUGGCGGUGGCGGUGGAAACCAUCAUGGAGGUGGUGGACAUCACGGAGGUGGAGGACAUCACGGAGGUGGUGGACAUCACGGAGGUGGCGGACAUGACGGCGGUGGCGGACAUGGCGGCGGCGGUGGCGGCUGUGGUGGGGGUGGUGGCUGACAUCAUUUCGCUGGCGUAUUGACAUUAUCUUUGAUAAUGUACUGUUUCAUUUUGAUCGAGUUGUGAUAUCUUUGUAUCCUAAAUCUGCUAAAUAAAUAUCGUAUCAUCUGCGGAAUUAGAGUACGUACCGCACUGUGUAUAAAAUUAAUGGAAUAAAUACCAAAUGAAAGACUGUAUGUAGAAUUCAGGUCUAUGUAUGUUCUUGUUUCAG
rnacentral:lncRNA from 1 species